AUAAGCAAAAUAAGGGCGUAUGGGGAAUGCCUAGGCUCUCAGAGGCGAAGAAGGACGUGAUAAGCUGCGAAAAGCUACGGGGAUUGGCACACACGAAUUGAUCCGUAGAUAUCCGAAUGGGGCAACCCAGUAUGUUGAAGACAUACUAUCCAAUAUGGAGGCGAACCCGCUGAACUGAAACAUCUAAGUAGGCGGAGGAGAAGAAAACAAAAGUGAUUCCGUAAGUAGUGGCGAGCGAACGCGGAAUAGCCCAAACCAAAGUUGUUACGGCAAUUUUGGGGUUGUAGGACCACGACAUUUCUUGCGGAUUUAAUUAGAAUUACCUGGAAAGGUAAACCGAAGAGGGUGAUAGUCCCGUAUUGGUAAGAGAAGAUAAGAAUAGUGGUAUCCUGAGUAGGUCGGGGCACGUGAAACCUUGAUUGAAACUGGCGGGACCAUCCGCUAAGGCUAAAUACUCCUGAGAGACCGAUAGUGAACCAGUACCGUGAGGGAAAGGUGAAAAGAACCGUGAAUAACGGAGUGAAACAGAUCCUGAAACCAUACGCCUACAAGCGGUCGGAGCCCCUUAGUGGGGUGACGGCGUGCCUUUUGCAUAAUGAGCCUACGAGUUACCGUUGCUGGCAAGGAUAAGUGAUUAAGUCAUGGAUCCGUAGCGAAAGCGAGUCUUAAUAGGGCGCUUUAGUCAGUAGUGGUAGACGCGAAACCGUGUGAUCUACCCAUGGGCAGGUUGAAGUUUAGGUAACACUAAAUGGAGGACCGAACCGUUUAACGCUGAAAAGUUUUCGGAUGACCUGUGGGUAGGGGUGAAAGGCCAAUCAAACUCGGAAAUAGCUCGUACUCCCCGAAAUGCAUUUAGGUGCAGCGAUGAUCGAUAGUUACUUAGAGGUAGAGCUACUGAUUGGAUGCGGGGGCUUCACCGCCUACCAAUUCCUGACAAACUCCGAAUGCUAAGUAAUGAUAAUCAUCAGUGAGGGCAUGGGUGCUAAGGUCCAUGUCCGAGAGGGAAAGAACCCAGACCAUCAGCUAAGGUCCCCAAAUGUAUGCUAAGUUGAAAAAACGCGGUUUGAUUGCCCAGACAGCUAGGAUGUUGGCUUGGAAGCAGCCAUUCAUUUAAAGAGUGCGUAACAGCUCACUAGUCGAGCGAUCGAGCAUGGAUAAUAAUCGGGCAUAAGUAUACUACCGAAGCUAUGGAUUUGCGCAUUUAGUUGCGUGAGUGGUAGGGGAGCAUUCUAACGGCGCAGAAGGUGAUUUGUGAGAAUUGCUGGAGCUUUUAGAAAAGAAAAUGUAGGCAUAAGUAACGAUAAGGGGUGCGAGAAACACCCCCGCCGUAAGACUAAGGUUUCCUCAGCUAUGCUAAUCAGCUGAGGGUUAGUCGGGACCUAAGGCACACCCGAAGGGGGACGUCGAUGGCCAACGGGUUAAUAUUCCCGUACUACUGAUAAUUGUGAUGGAGUGACACAGUGAUGAAAGCACCGCGAACUGACGGAAUAGUUCGUUGAAGCACGUACCUAUAGGUUUGAUAGUAAAAUGCGUCAGACUUGGAGAAAUGCGAUAGUACUUUGAGUCUUCGGACAACGAGAUAGUGUGCCUAAGGGCUGUCAAGAAAAGCUUCUAAACUUAGAUUAUUAGUACCCGUACCGUAAACCGACACAGGUAGUCGAGGAGAGUAUCCUAAGGCGCUCGAGAGAUUCAUGGCUAAGGAACUAGGCAAAAUAGACCUGUAACUUCGGGAGAAAGGUCGCCAGCGCAAGCUGGCCGCAGUGAAAAGGUCCAGGCGACUGUUUAUCAAAAACACAGGGCUCUGCAAAAUCGUAAGAUGACGUAUAGGGCCUGACACCUGCCCGGUGCUGGAAGGUUAAGAGGAGAUGUUAUCUUCGGAGAAGCAUUGAAUUGAAGCCCCAGUAAACGGCGGCCGUAACUAUAACGGUCCUAAGGUAGCGAAAUUCCUUGUCGG
rnacentral:rRNA from 1 species